rnacentral:lncRNA from 1 species
AUCAGUUUACAUCAAUGAAAUGCAUAGCUUUACAUUCACUCCACGCUUUCCUACUUAUAAAAAUAAUACCUUUACAGGGUACAAUUAUUCCUUUCAAAAUCCUAAGCAAGGCAAUCCCUCCUCUCCCUUUGAUGCAUGGCAGGUCUGUAACUUGUUAGGAGCAUGUACUGAUAUCUCAGCAGUGUCCAUGUUAAAUGGUGGCAAAUUCCUCAACUGUUCUUAUAAACAAAAUGACUCUAGUACCUUUGAGACAACGGUUAAUGUGUCUUGUCCCAAUAAUAUUACUUAAUUGCUAUCUUUCCCAGUGCUGGAAUGUCAUGGCCUUCAAGUUGGCUGUGAUUAUGUGUAUCUCUACCCAUGUUCCUAUCCCAGUUUCCAUUCCAGAGGAUAAGUUACUGGUGGUGCUAUCCAGAAAGAAGAGAGAUUUUGGUAUCACAGCCGCCAUUGUGACAGCAUUGUGACACCAUAUCUACAGCAGCUGCCACGGCAGCAGCAGUCUCGCUUGCUGCAACUAUACCCACUGUGGAAGCUGUGAACACCCUUGCAGAAGGAACGGCAGCAGCCCUUCAAACACAGACUCAGAUCAAUGCACAUCUGCAAACAGGAAUCCUGAUAGUCAACCAGAGAGUGAAUUUGGUUCAAGAACAAGUGGACAUAUUGGGGGCCCUAUUGGGACUGGGAUGUAUAGCACCCUUCCCGGCAAUUUGUGUACUCCCAGUAUUUGCAGGGUGCUUGGUCUGACUAUUUUCAAAAUUUCACACGAAUCCUUCUGGCUGAGAUAACUCAAGUAAAUAGUACGCAUGUGCAACCAGCUUCCCUCCCAGAGCUAUUUCAAACAUUCAGCAAUAUGAUCCAGUUUACCACACAAUGGGCUGGCACAAUUGGUCUUCUUGUCCUUCUUAUUGGCAUUCUGCUUCUAUUCAGAAAAGUUCGCCAAUGGAGAACACAGCAGCGAGAGCAGAGCCGAGCUAUAGUACAAGCCCUAUGUCAAUAGAGGCUGGGACAUCGCCCCAAAUAUGGCUAAGCAUGCUAGAUCAGUAGUCAAAGACGGGUAAGAUAAGAAGAGAAACAUACCAACCUAAGACAGGACAGAGAUCAUCGAUAUCUUGUGUCUGAUGAUAGGUAAGGAUGUUUUCUGCUACUGAUGACCUAAGACAGGCACAAUCUCUGCCAUAAAACAAAAAAGGGGGAGAUGUUGGGGAUCACCUCCGGCCGGGAAAAUCCCCGCCAUUACAAGAUGGCACUUGGCUCACUGCCAGCAAAAUAUACUGCAAGUAAACAACGAACGU